rnacentral:rRNA from 1 species
UACAGAGGUCUCAAGCGUUGUUCGGAUUCAUUGGGCGUAAAGGGUGCGUAGGCGGCGCGGUAAGUCGGGUGUGAAAUCUCGGAGCUUAACUUCGAAACUGCAUUCGAUACUGCCGUGCUCGAGGACUGGAGAGGAGACUGGAAUUUACGGUGUAGCGGUGAAAUGCGUAGAUAUCGUAAGGAAGACCAGUGGCGAAGGCGGGUCUCUGGACAGUUCCUGACGCUGAGGCACGAAGGUCAGGGGAGCAAACGGG